GAUGAACGCUGGCGGCGUGCUUAACACAUGCAAGUCGAACGAGCCUUCGGGCUAGUGGCGGACGGGUGAGUAACGCGUGGGAAUCUGCCCUCAGGAGGGGGAUAACGGCCGGAAACGGCCGCUAAUACCCCAUAUGCCGAGAGGUGAAAUGAAUUUCGCCUGAGGAUGAGCCCGCGUCUGAUUAGCUAGUUGGUGUGGUAACGGCGCACCAAGGCGACGAUCAGUAGCUGGUCUGAGAGGAUGAUCAGCCACACUGGGACUGAGACACGGCCCAGACUCCUACGGGAGGCAGCAGUGGGGAAUUUUCCGCAAUGGGCGAAAGCCUGACGGAGCAACGCCGCGUGAGGGAUGAAGGCCUCUGGGCUGUAAACCUCUUUUCUCAAGGAAGAAGACAUGACGGUACUUGAGGAAUAAGCCACGGCUAAUUCCGUGCCAGCAGCCGCGGUAAUACGGGAGUGGCAAGCGUUAUCCGGAAUUAUUGGGCGUAAAGCGUCCGCAGGCGGCCUUGUAAGUCUGUCGUUAAAGCGUGGAGCUUAACUCCAUUUGAGCGAUGGAAACUACAAGGCUUGAGUGUGGUAGGGGCAGAGGGAAUUCCCGGUGUAGCGGUGAAAUGCGUAGAUAUCGGGAAGAACACCAGUGGCGAAGGCGCUCUGCUGGGCCAUAACUGACGCUCAUGGACGAAAGCCAGGGGAGCGAAAGGGAUUAGAUACCCCUGUAGUCCUGGCCGUAAACGAUGAACACUAGGUGUCGGGGGAAUCGACCCCCUCGGUGUCGUAGCUAACGCGUUAAGUGUUCCGCCUGGGGAGUACGCACGCAAGUGUGAAACUCAAAGGAAUUGACGGGGGCCCGCACAAGCGGUGGAGUAUGUGGUUUAAUUCGAUGCAACGCGAAGAACCUUACCAGGGUUUGACAUCCUGCGAAUCCCUUGGAAACGAGGGAGCGCCUUCGGGAGCGCAGAGACAGGUGGUGCAUGGCUGUCGUCAGCUCGUGUCGUGAGAUGUUGGGUUAAGUCCCGCAACGAGCGCAACCCACGUCUUUAGUUGCCAGCAUUCAGUUGGGCACUCUAGAGAGACCGCCGGUGAUAAACCGGAGGAAGGUGUGGAUGACGUCAAGUCAUCAUGCCCCUUACAUCCUGGGCUACACACGUACUACAAUGCUACGGACAAAGGGUUGCAAGCUCGCGAGAGUUAGCUAAUCCCAUAAACCGUGGCUCGGUUCAGAUCGUAGGCUGCAACUCGCCUACGUGAAGGAGGAAUCGCUAGUAAUCGCAGGUCAGCAUACUGCGGUGAAUACGUUCCCGGGCCUUGUACACACCGCCCGUCACACCAUGGAAGUUGGCCAUGCCCGAAGUCGUUACUCCAACCCUUGUGGAGGAGGACGCCGAAGGUGGGGCUGAUGACUGGGGUGAA
rnacentral:rRNA from 1 species